ACGGAGGGUGCAAGCGUUAUUCGGAUUUAUUGGGCGUAAAGGGCGCGUAGGCGGCUUUUUAAGUCAGAUGUGAAAUCCUGGGGCUCAACCUCGGAAGUGCAUUUGAAACUGGAUAGCUUGAGUAUGGGAGAGGGAAGCGGAAUUCCUAGUGUAGCGGUGAAAUUCGUAGAUAUCAGGAAGAACACCGGUGGCGAAGGCGGUUUCCCGGACCAAUACUGACGCUGAGGUGCGAAGGCGUGGGGAUCAAACAG
rnacentral:rRNA from 1 species